AUUGAACGCUGGCGGCAUGCCUUACACAUGCAAGUCGAACGGUAACAGGUUAAGCUGACGAGUGGCGAACGGGUGAGUAAUGUAUCGGAACGUGCCCAGUCGUGGGGGAUAACUGCUCGAAAGAGCAGCUAAUACCGCAUACGACCUGAGGGUGAAAGCGGGGGAUGGCAAGACCUCGCGCGAUUGGAGCGGCCGAUAUCAGAUUAGGCAGUUGGUGAGGUAAAGGCUCACCAAGCCGACGAUCUGUAGCUGGUCUGAGAGGACGACCAGCCACACUGGGACUGAGACACGGCCCAGACUCCUACGGGAGGCAGCAGUGGGGAAUUUUGGACAAUGGGCGCAAGCCUGAUCCAGCCAUGCCGCGUGCGGGAAGAAGGCCUUCGGGUUGUAAACCGCUUUUGUCAGGGAAGAAAAGGUUCUGGCUAAUACCUGGGACUCAUGACGGUACCUGAAGAAUAAGCACCGGCUAACUACGUGCCAGCCGCCGCAGUAAUAC
rnacentral:rRNA from 1 species